CCCUUGGUGGUGUAAACGGUUAAUGCGCUCAGCUGCUAACUGAAAGGUCAGAGGUUUGAGUCCUCCCAGAGGCA
rfam:Loxodonta africana unplaced genomic scaffold scaffold_12, whole genome shotgun sequence.